UAAAUAGUAAUAAAAGUGAUGAUAGUGUAAAUGUGUAAACUAAUUCUAAUAAAUUUUCUUCAUAUUCAUCUCUAACUGAAUCAAAUUUCAAGUAUGGAACAUAUAAACCAAUAGAAUGGACUUUGCAAUCUAUUAUGAGCUUGAUGUAUUCAACUAAUGAUGGUCGUUUUAUUUUGACUGAUGCAAAAGUAAACCAUGAACAUUUAUCUAAUGAUGCUCAAAAUACACUUACGAGACUUAAUAAAUUAUUUAUUUAAAGACAAAGCUCGGGGAACUGAUUUUUAAUUUCGGAAAAUUUCUUCAAUUAUCAUUGAAAUACUUCCCAAAGAACAAGAAGUAGGAUAUAGGUUUAAAACUAUUA